rnacentral:lncRNA from 1 species
AUGAUGAAUCUCUAGGUGCAGUUAUCGUAUGAUACAGUCCUUCUAUCGUGGAUCCCUACAGAUCGGAGGUCAUGGAUAACUCGUCAAACCCCGUCGUCUGUCAUAUGUCUAGAUUUAUUCGACUUGAGUUCGAGAGUAGAAAACUCUUUUCCACUAUAUAUUCUGCCCUGGCCAAGGUCUUAGAACUCAGUCUAAUAAAUCACAUAGGAUCACUCCUCAUCUAUCAAGGUCGAUAGAUUCCAUGUAAGUGCAUACCCUACUC